rnacentral:lncRNA from 1 species
GGAUUCAUCACGGCGCCCUCCAGCGCGCCGCAGGCCAGCACGUUGGCCCCCGCCAGAAGCCCCACGGCGAGCGGCGCCGCCAGCGCUCCGGCGCCGGCGCGGACCCUCCGCGCUUUGUCCAUCACCGUCGCAAAGUAGGCGUACAUGAGCCCGAACGCCAUGGCCGCCUCCAGCACCGCCGCGUUCCAUCCGCUCACGCCCCCCGCCAGCGCGUACUCCGGCAGAUGCUGCGUGAACGCGCGCGCGUGCACCAAGCCCACAUGUGUCAGUCGGCGUCAAUAUUGUAGCACAGCUGCAUAAGGUCAGGCGGCGGAUCGAGUACGUACCAUCCCUCCGGUGGCGAGCCUGAGCACGAGCGCGGCGGCGACGGCGCCGAGCAGCUGCGCGGCCCAGUAGACGAGGGAGCGGACGAGGCAGAUCCGGCCGGCGAGCAGCGCGCCGAAGGUGACGGCCGGGUUGACGUGGCCGCCGGAGAUGUUGGCGGCGCACCCCACUGCGGCCGCGAGCGCGAGGGCGUGCGCGAGCGCCACCGCCACCAGGCCGCCGCCGCCCUUGUCAUGGUGGUGCAUCCUCCCUGCGCGCGCGCGGCACCGGUGCACACGUUUACGACGUACGACGAGUGAGGAGACACGCGCGACGACAAGCACACAGCAUGCACCGUUAAUUUAUACACAGUAUAUAUAUAACGUAAGUAGGUAGGUACGUACCGAGAGAGAGCGUGGCACCCUCGGCGGCGAAGACGAAGAUGGCGGUGGCGAGGAGUUCGGCGGCCGCGUGGCGCAGCGUGGCGGGGUCUUUGGCCGUAGCCAG